rnacentral:lncRNA from 1 species
CAGGUGUCCUGGGGAAGUGUCGCUAUGUUUACUAUGGGAAAAACUCAGAAGGCAACAGGUUUAUCCGAGAUGACCAGCUCUGAUGGCAAGUUCUGAAUGCUUUAGCCUGUGUCAUGAGAAUAAAAGAAAAAGGGAAAGUAAAAAUAAAGAAAAAAAACUAAAAGAAAAAAACAAUGGCCCACAUCGCAUGUCUGUGGGAAGGCUGUGACUUCAGCUUUUGGUACCUUCUGCUGACUUUGCCAGGCCUGUCAAGAUCAUCCUUCUGCCUUAGACUGAGUGGUCACAUAGAGAUUGACAUGAUUGCCCUUAAGCAGGUCUCAUCCACUAGGGUGACAGACAGCAGCGGCGAAGCACCAGGGCUGACAGGAGGAACACCAUGAUAGAUUGCCUGGCCCCUCCACUGCUCACAGGGGAGCAGAGGUCACACCUGGGGCCUCCCUGAGCAUGCUCGUUGGCCGUAGUCAAGCGAGAGAGACUGUGUCUUCAGCUUGCCUAUUGAGUAGAGAUCCCUCUGAUACCAUUGUGCUGUGGGUUUAUUUUUAGUGAAAUAAUCACAGUUUGGAGGAAGGCCACCCUCCCUUAUUCACCUUGAAUUUUAAUCCCUUAUUUUCUGCACACACCCACACAUUCCAACAAAACACAUACCAUCCUUUAGCAUCUUUAUUACAGGUAGUGCAUUUUGGCUUGCAGUUUUUCAGAGAACUGAAGGUUCUCAGCCAGGUCAUACAUUUAUGGCUGACUUUGUGUUCUUACAACUGGAGUAAAUAGCUUUCCUUAAAUCCCUAACUACAAAAGCAUGGACUCUGUCUUGUUUUGUACAUUUCUAAAUCCACUUCUUGCCCUGAAUACUAGGCAAUGUCAGGCAUCUUUCCCAGGACCAAGUUCUGAUUGCACCAAGGACUCUGAUUUAUUUAUGUAUGUAUUUAUUUAUUUUUAACAACACAUACAUCCAGCUAUGCCUGUGGCCAUAUUUGUAGUUUGGAGCUGGCUUGCUCCUUUGGGUGCUAUUUAAAGGUAGGGAGGUGAUGAAAACAGAGUGAUGGGUCAGGAAGUUAAAAAAGAAAGUGAAGACUAUAGAAAACACCUACCAGACUGAACAGUUUUUAACAGAAGGCACAAACCUUUGAGUUUGGUAUCUUCCUCAGCACCUCUCAGAACCGAAAUCCAUAGCUUGUGAGAUGGUCUUUGUGUGUCUUUGGCUAUAUUCCAGCACUGUUACAAGGAAAAUAAGCACAAUCAUACCAGUAAGGUGGCUAUCAUUUCAUUUAAUGGAAGGAUACACAAGUAAAAUCACUCCAGAAAAGUCUUUGAAAGGCUGAUUGCUCUUGAUGCAAUCGCAUUUAUUUUUGCUUCUUCUGUUUAGACCAGGUGUUCAUUGGCUUGGAUCUCUCAGUAUUAGGUUAGAUUGAGGGCAACGAAACUUCAAAGAGAAUUCUUCCAAGUUAUAGAUACUACAUAACUAGAGAGUCACUACUGUAAAAGUCUUUGGGGACUCAACAUCCCUCAGGACCCAAGAAGAAUCUGCUUUCUCAGUUCUAGACCAUUUAAGUGGCCUCUGGCCUCCUGAGUCAACUUAGUCUUUGAAUGACUUGCAAUAAGGCAGGCAGGAAUCUCUUUUGUAGGUUAUGCAAGUUAAACAGUUAUUGAGACAAAUUUUGAUCAAAAUCCUCGAGGCCAUUAAUAACUAGAGGAUAUUAAAUGUUUGCCUUUAUCUCUCAAAUUCAUUAAUAACCAGAGCUGAGUACCUUUUCACUGUUUGAUCUACAGAACAGCAUUGAGAUGAUGCUUUAAAUUAGCUGCAUUAAGUCCCACCCUGUUCUUUGUUUAGAAACACCAACACAUGUUUUGUCCAUGGCAUAUUACGGGCAGCCAGAUUUCUGUGCAAGGGCAGCUAGACUAGUCCAAUGUCAUAUUUAAUCUAGCGGCACAUAUAUCCUUGUCUUUAUAAAAGGCUUUAACCCUGCCUCAAACAAUAAAAAAGCACUUGUGAACUGACCACAGAAUUUUUCCAUCUUUAUUUUUCUUACUUGUUUACUUUUCUUAAUGUCAGAACCAUUUGUAUCAUGCACAGGAAUGUCUCCCUCAAUGCGAGCUUUGGAGGCAAAAAAAAUACUUUUGGAGUGAGUUAUUGACCACAUUGUUUCCUUCUCUUUGGGUUGUUUAUUUUCUUCCAAAAUGGUGUAAUAACUUUAAUUAAAAUUAGCUUUAAUUAUAAUUUACGUAAAGGCCAUCACUAUGAUACAUUCAUCUUAAUGAUAGAAUGAGUAUGAGUUUUGUUUCUUUUAAAAAGGGAUAAUGAUAAUGAAUCAGUGUUGGACUGUUUACAGUUAUACUGUUUGUUAAGCAAGAUUUGCUGUGCUACAGCUAGAAUUUGGUCCGAAUUGGUAGAGGAGGAAGCAAUGUUGCAUGCUAAAAUCUAUAAGAAUUUCCCAAACCUUGUUUUUUAAAGUAGAAAAUUAGAAGGUAAUGAAUUCAAUCAAAGCUCAGAAUUCUUACAUGCCCCCAAUUUCCCCUUGCUCCUUCUGCCUUAUACCCUAUUCCUCUGAGCUUUCUCUUAGGAGAUCAUGGUAUCUGACAUCCCUGUAUCCUCUCUCCCAGGACACCGAUCUGCCUUGAGUGCCCCUGCAAUAGAAGGCCAUCCCGGAGUCCUCUGUUGCCUCUGCAAAGUCAGGGCGGACUUUUUCCUAAGUAAUGCAAUUUUAUAGAACAAUUUGUUCCUUGGGGAAUAAUGUUUUAGAUUGUGGGGAAUCCUAUUAAAAGUACAACUAUUACAAUAAUUUGCUUUUACUUUUACCAGCCUUGCUCAUAAACCCUCCAUCUGUUUGUUGCUUUAAAUAGAGGCACAUUAUAAGAGAUUAUCACUCGAUCAGGCGACACGUCUGAGUGUUGUGCAUUUUCACAUAUUCAUGUAUACUAAGGAAUAAAAGAAAGCAAACCAGAGAUUCCAGA